CCUACGGGGUGCAGCAGUGAGGAAUAUUGGUCAAUGGCCGGAAGGCUGAACCAGCCAUGCCGCGUGAAGGUCAGUGCCCUAUGGGCGUUAAACUUCUUUUGUGCGGGAGCAAUAAUGGUCACGUGUGGCCAGACGAGAGUACCGUACGAAUAAGCAUCGGCUAACUCCGGGCCCGCAGCCCCGGUAAGACGGGGGGUGCAAGCGUUAUCCGGAUUUAUUGGGUUUAAAGGGUGCGUAGGCUGGGAGGUAAGUCAACGGGGAAAUGCACCCGCUCAACGGGGUGAAGUGCCAUUGAUACUGGCUUGCUGGAAUGCGGAUGCCGUGGGAGGAAUGUGUGGUGUAGCGGUGAAAUGCAUAGAUAUCACACAGAACACCGAUUGCGAAGGCAUCUCACGAAUCCGCGAUUGACGCUGAUGCACGAAAGCGUGGGUAUCAAACAGGAUUAGAUACCCGUGUAGUC
rnacentral:rRNA from 1 species